UACAUACUAGCCGAAUGGUAAGGCACUUGACUGAAGAUCAAGCAACUACAGGUUCAAAUCCUGUGUGUGAAUCAA
rnacentral:tRNA from 1 species